AUGCAGAACAUGAAUCUUUAGUAACUGUUGCACUUCAUGGUUUUGUAUGCUUGAAGCACAUUGGCAACAAGCCACACAUAGUUUGGUGCUCUGUAGUUGCCAAGAAAAUUCUCAACAUCUUUGAAUACCUUCCACGUGAGUUUUUCAGUUCCACUAGAAAUUCUUUGAAAUGCUUGUCAUUGGUUACCUAUUUAAUUUGUGGAUCAAUAAAAAUGUCUUCCUUAAUCUUGGCAUCAAUUCUUCUGACUUGAAUUAUGAAUUGAAAUAAAAAAUAUUGGCUAUUUAAAAAAAAAUGGCACAUGAUAGAGACAUUUCAAGGUGAUUUUCAUGAUCAGCAGCCCAAAAUCCAUAAGGUACACCCAAAAAUAUUCAGGAAGCAAAAUCUUUGUUGUCCUUUGAUAUGAGGCAUUGAGAAGACCAUAAGACAUAGGAGUAGAAUUAGGCCAUGCAGCCCAUUGAGUCUGCUCCACCAUUCCACGGCUGAUCCCAGAUCCCACUCAACCCCAUACACCUGCCUUCUUGUAAUAACCAUUGAUGCCCUGUCUGAUCUGUAAACAACAAAAGGGUAGACGGAAUCCAUAGAAGGAAUGGUGAUUUGGAAAAAUAAACUCAACUUAAUUCUCAAUUCCAGAUUCUCCUUGGCAACCAUGAACCACAGUAACAGGAGCCAUGUUGUGUUCAUCCUGCAAGGAGUCCCCAGUGGUGAUGGGUACGAGCUGAUCAUCUUCAUCGUCUUUCUGUUGGUUUACAUUGUUAUUCUGAUUGCCAACCUCACAAUCAUAUAUCUGGUCAAGUCAGAGCCCAAGAUGCACAGCCUCAUGUACUAUCUGCUCUGCCUCCUAGCUGCCAUCGAUAUUGUUCUCAGUAACGUGACCAUCCCCAAGCUCCUGGCCAUGUACUUCUCCCGGUCCAAGGCCAUCUCCCUGGAGGCCUGCGCCACCCAGAUGUUCUUCGUCUACUGCACGGCACUGAGCGAGUCUACCCUGCUGGUGGCCAUGGCAUUCGACCGCUACGUGGCCAUCUGUCACCCGUUCCACUACCACAAGCUGACACUGAGCCGGAUUCUCCUGGUGGUGGGGGUGAUCGUCAUUCUCCGAGCAUCCUGCUUCAUUGCAGUCGCCGUCCUGCUGACUCAAGCCACGUACUGCACCUCCAACUACAUCCGGAACUGCUACUGCAACUAUGGCUCCCUGUCCAAGCUGGCCUGCCGCGGGGUGACAGCAAGCGACGCCAUCACGUACCCCUUAUCGUUCCUCAUCACGCUGCCUGACAGCUCACUCAUCGGCUACUCCUACUUCAAGAUCUACCGGGAGGCGUCCAAGAGCGGCCAAGGUGAGGCGCGCAGCAAGGCCCUCAACACCUGCACUACUCACAUCUGCGUCCUGACGCUGUUCUACACCAGCGCCCUCUUCGAGUUCGUCAUGUACCUGGUACCGAGCCUGUUCACUGAUGAGCUCCACUUUGUGGUGGCAGUCACCUUUGUCAUCUUCCAGCCCAUCUUCAACCCGAUCAUCUACGGGGUGAGGACAAAGGAGAUCAGGAACACCUUCCUGAAGCUAAUGGGCAAGAGGAGGGUGGCGGACGGACCCUGAGCGACGCACACACACAAAUCAGUGGAAGAGCUGAAGGAAAGGCAGCACCCCUGAAGGGAAACAGGCCGUUGACCCUUCAGAAUCAGGCAUACGCAGUAAUCCAAGAAACACAAUAGAAUCAGUGGAAGACCAGACUCAGCAGGAUUGACAAACAGCCAGUGUGCAAAAGACAACAAACUGUGCAAGUACAAAAAGUCAAUGUUUCUCACUCUCUGCAUGCCACCUUGGCUGAACAGAGGAGCACUUUUAGUCAUAGACUAAGACAAAUGCACUGCUCCAAAGAGUCCUAUAUGAGGUUUUUUAUUAUCCUCGGCCAUUGGGCUCUAUAUUGAGUCAACCCUAUAGCCAGGACAGUGAUGUCUCCUCUUGUUAGACUGUUUCUGGUAACUUAUUUUUUAUUCUUUCUACUUCUCUUCUAAUAUUUAUAUCUGUGUACUUGUAAUGCUGCUGUGACACUAAUUUCCUUUGGGAUCAUUACAGUAUCUAUCUAUUUACCUAUCUAUCUAAAUAAAUAAAAAAUAAAUGCUGAGAAUAUGAAAUGAAGAGUCCUUGAAAGUGAGCCUAUAGGUUGUGGGAGCAGGUCAAUGAUGAGGCAAAUGAAGUUGAGUGAAGCUAUCCCCUCUAGUUCAAGAGCCUGAUAAUUGAGGGGUAAUAACUGUUCCUGAACCUGAUGGUGUGUAUCCUGAGGCUCCUGUACCUUCUCCCUGGUGGCAACAAUGAGAAGAGAGCAUGGUCUGGGUUGUCGGGGUCCUUGAUCAUGGGUGCUGCUUUCCUGCGGCAUCACUCCGUGUAGACAGGCUCAAUGGUGGGGAGGGGUUUUAAAGUUUUCUUGAAUGUUUUAGAUGACACACCGAAUCUGCAUAAACUUCCAAGAAAGUAAAGGCUCUGAUGUCCCCUCUUUGUAAUGGCAAUUGAGGCCCUUCAGCCCACCAUUUGCAUGCUAAGCAUCAAAUGCCCAUCUAUGCUACGUUGAGUUGUGAACAUCCCCACUUCUCUUCUCAAUUCCACCCAACCUGCUCAACCCUUUGUCAUCAGACAUGCUUAGAGAGGUUGGUUAUGACGAGACUGAGCUCCUGCCUCAGCAAGGACCUGGACCCACUGCAAUUUGCCUGUUAUCACAAUAGGUCAACGGCAGACGCAAUCUCCAUGGCUCUUCACACGGCUUUAGACCACCUGGACAACACAAGCACCUACAUCAGGAUGCUGUUCGUCGACUAUAGUUCAGCAUUUGAUACCAUCAUUCCCACAAUCCUGAUUGAAAAGCUGCAGAAUUUGCAUCUCUGUACCACUCUCUGCAAUUGGAUCCUCGACUUCCUAACCGGAAGACCACAGUUUGUGUGGAUUGAUGAUAAAAUAUCCUCCUCGCUGACGAUCAACACCAGUGCACCUCAGGGGUGUGUGCUUAGCCCACUGCUCUAGUCUCUAUAUACACAGGACUGUGUGGCUAGGCAUAGCUCAAAUACCAUCUGCAAAUUUGCUGACGAUACAACCAUUGUUGGUAAAAUCUCAGGUGGUGACGAGAGGGCGUACAGGAGUGAAAUACGCCAACUAGUGGAAUGGUGCCGCAGCAACAACUCAAUGUCAGUAAGAUGAAAGAGCUGGUUGUGGACUUCAGGAAGGGUAAGAUGAAGGAACACAUACCAAUCUUCAUAGAGGGAUCAGAAGUGGAGAGAGUGAGCAGCUUCAAGUUCCUCGGUGUCAAGAUCUCUGAGGAUCUAACCUGGUCUCAAUACAUUGGUGUAAUUAUAAAAAAAACAAGACAGUGGCUAUACUUUAUUAGGAGUUUGAAGAGAUUUGGAAUGUCAACAAAUACACUCAAAAACUUCUAUAGUUGUACCAUGGAAAGCAUUCUGACAAGCUGCAUCACUGUCUGGUAUGGAGGGGCUACUGCACAGGACUGAAAGAAGCUGCAGAAGGUUGUAAAUCUAGUCAGCUCCAUCUUGGGUACUAGCCUACAAAGUACCCAAGAUAUCUUUAGGGAGCGGUGUCUCAGAAAGGCAGCGUCUAAUAUUAAGGACCUCCAGCACCCAGGGCAUGCCCUUUUCUCACUGUUACCAUCAGGUAGGAGGUACAGAAGCCUGAAGGCACACACUCAGCAAUUCAGGGACAGUUUCUUCCCCUCUGCCAUCCGAUUCCUAAAUGGACAUUGAAGCUUUGGCCACUACCUCACCUUUUUAAUGUAUAGUAUUUCUGUUUUUGCACAUUUUUAAAAAUCUAUUUGAUAUACUUAAUUGAUUUUCUUGUUUAUUCAUUAUUAUGUUUUAUUUUAUUUUAUUUUCUCUCUCUUUCUGCUAGAUUAUGUAUUGCAUUCUACCGCUGCAGCUAAGUUAACGAAUUUCAUGUCACAUGCCAACGAUAGUAAACCUGAUUUCUGAUUCAAUACAAUGUACAUUCCCUGAAUGGUGUCAUUUCUAAGAGUGUUGAGCUAAUCAUAGACUUAGAGGGUCCCACAGCACAGAUACAGCCCCUUUGGCUCAACCAGUUCAUGCCGAACACUGUGCCCACUCAGUCCAAAUCUCCUGUGUUUGGCCGAUAUACCUCCAAAGUUCAAAGUAAAACUUAUUAACAAAGUCAAUAUUAUUAUCAAGCCUCACCCUCAAUGCACCUGUCCAAGUGCUUCUUAUACAAAACUAAUGUAUCUGCCUCAACCACUUCCUCUACAGCUUGUUCCAUAUAAUCACCACCCUCUGUGAAAACGUUGUCCCACAGGUCGUUUCUAAACCUUUCCCCUCUCACCCUAAACCUACUUUUGGACUCUGCUACCCUGGUAAGACUUCCAUCUGCCUCCCAACCACUGAGUGCAUCUACACAGAGCACCGUCGCAGGAAAGCAGCGUCCAUCAUCAAGGAUGCCCUCUACCCAGGGCAUGCUCGCUUCUCGCUGCUGCCAUCAGGAGCCUCAGGAUCCACAUCACCCAGUUAUUACCCCUCAACCAUCAGGCUCCCGAACCAAAGGGGGUUACUACACUCAACUUCACUCGGUCUGUCAGUGAGCUGUUGACUCACGUUCAAGGACUCUUCAUCUCAUGUUCUCAAUAUUUAUUGCCUUUUUUUAUUUAUUAUUGCUAUUUUUUAUUUUUUGUGCUCGCAUGCACAUGAUGUCUUUUGCACAUUGUCCAUCCUGUUGGGUGCAAUCUUUCAUUGAUUCUAAGGCAACAUGAGUGAAUCUGCAGAUGCUGGAAAUAAAUAAUAACAAAAACACAAAAUGCUGGCAGAACUCAGCAGGCCAGACAGCAUCUAUGGGAGGAGGUAGUGACGACGAAUUGGCCCGAAACAUCGUCACUACCCUCUCCCAUAGAUGCUGUCUGGCCUGCUGAGUUCUGCCAGCAUUUUGUGUUUUUAUUUCUUUCAUUGAUUCUAUUGUGUUUCUUGGAUUUAGUGUAUAUGCCCGCAAGAACAUAAAUCUCAGGGUUGUAUAUGGUGACGUAUGUGGAGUUUGGUUCCUUAAGGCUGUUAUAGCUGAGGGUGGUACUGGGGACGAGCUCCCAAUGGCUCCCAAUCCAGCUCCUGGCCUUGACGUGUGGCUUAUCUACUAAGCCUGGUGGAAGUGUUUCUACUGACAGGAGAAGGGGCAAAGAUGGGUUAGGGGCCCCUUAAACCCAGUCAGACUCGUCAGCUGCGGUUGGCAGUUCUUCUAGGAUUAUGAAAAUUCUGAUCGCAAACAUCGCAGCCUUGCCUACCCACUCACGGGGAAGGCUUCGGGAGUAAAUCCCGAGGGGAAAGUCUGGAGCUGGAGUCCCUCAGGCAGGCCUACAUGGAGUUCAACACCGUCUGGCAAUUUCUGUGAUGUCAGUGGUGCCAAACUGUAUCGGUCUCGGCCGUUCCUUUUGGGUUCAUCGGGUGUAUGGAGGGGGGAGGGGGGUGCCUGCUGCGUGGGCAACAGCUUGCCCUCCAUAUCGUACUGCCCAGGCUUGUGUAUCAUGUAGACAGCUAGGCCGCAAUACCCUGGGACCAACAGAGGCCUCUGCAGUAUACUUUCAUAGUAAGUGUACUUUGAUCUUUGAACCAUAUCUAUGACUCUCAUAGCCUUACACAUUUCCAUGAGGUCAUCCCUCAUUCUCCCACGUUCCAAGGAAUAUCGGCCAACCUCUUCCUAUAACUGCGGCUGGGUUUGAUUUCUAGUUUAGUUCCGCACAGUGUCAUGGGUGAAGGAGCUGUCCCUGUCCUGUGCUUUUCACCUGUUAUGAACCCCAGUUUCAAUUCCUGGGGGGCUGCGAUUUAGUUUCUUGUAGUGUCACGCGAUGACCUACCCCCAACAGUAUAAAAGGAGCCGCGCAGAUUGCUCCGGACACACUUUGGGGGCGACCCGCUUUGGUGGAGAGUGAGUGGUUAGUGAGAGGGAAGAGUGCGAGUUUCGAUCGAGCCCGAAAGGGAGUGGGUGGGUAAUCGAUGGCGCUGCGCCUCUCCGAGGUGACUGACAUUUCCUGACCCGAACGUGGAGUUUUUGGCACCCACUUUGCUGACCCCAGCCAAGCCUCGGGUGUGUGGCGACCUGUCCUGGAACAGGGCCGUCUCCUGUCAGACCACACCGUGAACUCUGUAAAGGUACGGUGGCGGUUUGGUGAGAUCGGCGCUC